rnacentral:rRNA from 1 species
ACAACUUUCAGCAAUGGAUCUCUUGGCUCUCGCAUCGAUGAAGAACGCAGCGAAUUGCGAUAAGUAAUGUGAAUUGCAGAUUUUCAGUGAAUCAUCGAAUCUUUGAACGCACCUUGCGCUCCUUGGUAUUCCGAGGAGCAUGCCUGUUUGAGUGUCAUCGAAUUCUCAACCAUGUCUUGAUCGAUUUCGAGGCAUGGCUU